AAUGAACGUUGGCGGCGUGGAUUAGGCAUGCAAGUCGAACGGGCCGCAAGGCCAGUGGCGCAAGGGUGAGUAAGGCGACGGUAACCAACCCCAGGAUUGGGUAUAGCCGCGGGAAACCGCGGGUAAUCCCCAGCGACGCAACGGCACCGGCAUCGGUGCCUUGCCAAAGCUUCGGCGUCCGUGGGACGGGCUGUCGUGGU
rnacentral:rRNA from 1 species